GACGAACCGUGCGAACGUUAUUCGGAAUCACUGGGCUUAAAGGGCGCGUAGGCGGGCUCGUAAGUCAGGGGUGAAAUCCCACGGCCCAACCGUGGAAGUGCCUCUGAUACUGCGGGCCUCGAGGGGGAUAGGGGCGUGCGGAACUCAGGGUGGAGCGGUGAAAUGCGUAGAUAUCCUGAGGAACACCGGUGGCGAAAGCGGCGCGCUGGAUCCCUUCUGACGCUGAGGCGCGAAAGCUAGGGGAGCAAACAGG
rnacentral:rRNA from 1 species